rnacentral:rRNA from 1 species
GUAAGGAAUAUUGGACAAUGGACGCAAGUCUGAUCCAGCCAUGCCGCGUGAAGGAUUAAGGUCCUCUGGAUUGUAAACUUCUUUUAUAAGGGACGAAAAAAGGCUUUUCUAAGUCGUCUUACGGUACCUUAUGAAUAAGCACCGGCUAACUCCGUGCCAGCAGCCGCGGUAAUACGGAGGGUGCAAGCGUUAUCCGGAUUCACUGGGUUUAAAGGGUGCGUAGGCGGGCAGGUAAGUCAGUGGUGAAAUCCUAGAGCUUAACUCUAGAACUGCCAUUGAUACUAUCUGUCUUGAAGAUUGUGGAGGUAAGCGGAAUAUGUCAUGUAGCGGUGAAAUGCUUAGAUAUGACAUAGAACACCUAUUGCGAAGGCUGCUUACUACGCAUAUAUUGACGCUGAGGCACGAAAGCGUGGGGAUCAAACAGGAUUAGAAACCCUAGUAGUCC